GAUGAACGCUGGCGGCGUGCCUAAUACAUGCAAGUCGAGCGAACGGACGAGAAGCUUGCUUCUCUGAUGUUAGCGGCGGACGGGUGAGUAACACGUGGAAAACCUACCUAUAAGACUGGGAUAACUUCGGGAAACCGUAGCUAAUACCGGAUAAUAUUUUGAACCGCAUGGUUCAAAAGUGAAAGACGGUCUUGCUGUCACUUAUAGAUGGAUCCGCGCUGCAUUAGCUAGUUGGUAAGGUAACGGCUUACCAAGGCAACGAUGCAUAGCCGACCUGAGAGGGUGAUCGGCUACACUGGAACUGAGACACGGUCCAGACUCCUACGGGAGGCAGCAGUAGGGAAUCUUCCGCAAUGGGCGAAAGCCUGACGGAGCAACGCCGCGUGAGUGAUGAAGGUCUUCGGAUCGUAAAACUCUGUUAUUAGGGAAGAACAUAUGUGUAAGUAACUGUGCACAUCUUGACGGUACCUAAUCAGAAAGCCACGGCUAACUACGUG
rnacentral:rRNA from 1 species